rnacentral:rRNA from 1 species
AAACUCUGUUGUUAGGGAAGAACAAGUGCCUAGUAACUGAUGGCACCUUGACGGUACCUAACCAGAAAGCCACGGCUAACUACGUGCCAGCAGCCGCGGUAAUACGUAGGUGGCAAGCGUUGUCCGGAACUUUCGGGCGUAAAGCGCUCGCACGCGGCUCUUUAAGUCUGAUGUGAAAUCUCGCGGCCUCAACCGCGCAACGGCCAUUGCAAACUG